rnacentral:misc_RNA from 1 species
GAUGAAGAACGUAGCGAAAUGCGAUAAGUAAUGUGAAUUGCAGAAUUCAGUGAAUCAUCGAAUCUUUGAACGCACCUUGCGCCCCUUGGUAUUCCGAGGAGCAUGCCUGUUUGAGUGUCAUUAAUAUAUCAACCUUCUCUUUUUUGAGUUGUUUGGAUGUGGGGGUUUGCUGGCCUCUUAAAUGAUUCAGCUCCCCUGAAAUGCAUUAGCAGAACAACCUGUUCAUUAGCGUGAUAAUUAUCUAUGCUAUUGAAUGUGAGGGCAGUUCAGCUUUCUAACCGUCCUUGGACAAUUCAUCAUUAAUGUGACCUCAAAUCAGGUAGGACUACCCGCUGAACUUAAGCAUAUCAAUAAGCGGAGGA